GAUGAACGCUGGCGGCGUGCUUAACACAUGCAAGUCGAACGGAAAGGCCCAAGCUUGCUUGGGUACUCGAGUGGCGAACGGGUGAGUAACACGUGGGUGAUCUGCCCUGCACUUCGGGAUAAGCCUGGGAAACUGGGUCUAAUACCGGAUAGGACCACAUUUUGGAUGGUGUGGUGGAAAGUUUUUCGGUGUGGAAUGAGCUCGCGGCCUAUCAGCUUGUUGGUGGGGUAAUGGCCUACCAAGGCGUCGACGGGUAGCCGGCCUGAGAGGGUGUACGGCCACAUUGGGACGGAGAUACGGCCCAGACGCCUACGGGAGGCAGCAGUGGGGAAUAUAGCAAAAUGGGGGCAAGCCUGAUGCAGCGAGGCCGCGUGGGGGAUGACGGCCUUCGGGUUGUAAACUCCGUUCGCUAGGGACGAAGCGUUAUGUGACGGUACCUGGAGAAGAAGCACCGGCUAACUACGUG
rnacentral:rRNA from 1 species